CGUAAGGCGCCGAAUGAGUCAUUAAAAAAUUAACAUCAUCCGAUCCCUAGUCGGCAUAGUUUAUGGUUAAGACUACGACGGUAUCUGAUCGUCUUCGAUCCCCUAACUUUCGUUCUUGAUUAAUGAAAACAUCCUUGGCAAAAUGCUUUUCGCAGUAGUUAGUCUUCAAUAAAUCCAAGAAUUUCACCUCUGACAAUUGAAUACUAAUCGCCCCCAACUAUCCUUAUUAAUCAUUACGUCGAUCCUAAGAAACCAACAAAAUAGAAUCAAACGUCCUAUUUCAUUAUUCCAUGCUAAUGUAUUCAAGCGUGAGCC
rnacentral:rRNA from 1 species